CAGCACCUCAAGUGGUCAGGAUGAUUAUUGGGCCUAAAGCAUCCGUAGCCGGCGCUGUAAGUUUUCGGUUAAAUCUGUACGCUCAACGUACAGGCUGCCGGGAAUACUGCAGCGCUAGGGAGUGGGAGAGGUAGACGGUACUCGGUAGGAAGGGGUAAAAUCCUUUGAUCUAUUGAUGACCACCUGUGGCGAAGGCGGUCUACCAGAACACGUUCGACGGUGAGGGAUGAAAGCUGGGGGAGCAAACCGGAUUAGAGACCCGCGUAGUCC
rnacentral:rRNA from 1 species